rnacentral:lncRNA from 1 species
AGGGCGUGGGUAAAGAUGGUGACAGAAAAUGUAAGGUCAUUUUUGGCAUAUUUAAUGCGUACCAAUUUGCGGUGAAAUGUCCCAAUUGAGAAUUGGCAUAAGCAGUGAAAUGGUUGUCGGAGCACGUGGAUGGGUCAGGUUUUGUAUAAGAGACCGCACUGUCACAAAUCUCAGCCAUAACACCAACAUCUUACAUUAAUUGUGAUUCGAUGGAUACCACAUACCCACAAAUGUCUCUUAAAUACACUUACGCAUCUCACCUUUCUUCACUCUUUAUAU